CUACGGGCCGCUGCAGUGAGGAAUAUUGCACAAUGGGGGGAACCCUGAUGCAGCAACGCCGCGUGGAGGAUGACGCAUUUCGGUGUGUAAACUCCUUUUAUAUGUCAAGAAAAUGACGGUAGCAUAUGAAUAAGCACCGGCUAACUCCGUGCCAGCAGCCGCGGUAAUACGGAGGGUGCGAGCGUUACUCGGAAUCACUGGGCGCAAAGGACGCGUAGGCGGGUUGGAAAGUCAGGUGUGAAAUCCUACAGCUUAACUGUAGAACUGCACUUGAAACUUCUAAUCUAGAGUAUGGGAGGGGGAGAUGGAAUUAGUGGUGUAGGGGUAAAAUCCGUAGAUAUCACUAGGAAUACCUAAAGCGAAGGCGAUCUCCUGGAACAUUACUGACGCUAAGGCGUGAAAGCGUGGGGAGCAAACAGGAUUAGAUACCCCGGUAGUC
rnacentral:rRNA from 1 species